CGGCCGCUCCCGCAUCCUCCGCGGGCCCCGCGCGCACACCAGACCCUGAGCUUCGGAGCAGGACCCAGAACCCACCAGACCUCCCACGCGCUUCUCCCGGCCCUGGAUCAAACUUGGGAUGAUGCUCUGAAAAUGUCCAGAAAAUGGCUGACAUCAGACCACGCACCCAGGCGGGAGUUCUCUGAGUGUUCUCCGUUGCUUGCCCACACUCACUCUCUCCCCUACUUCUUGAAGAACUUUCCUGGCUCAUUCCCAUGUCUGGCCAAUAGGAGGAGAGUGGGAUCUCAAGGGAUUUAGUCCCUCUGCCAGGGUGACUUUAGGUUAACUGCAGACUCUUGCUGAAGGUGUCAGCUUUUAUUAGCCUCUCAUUCCUGCCGUCUCCCU
rnacentral:lncRNA from 1 species